GAGAUUAAAGAUUUAUCGGUGAUGGAUGGGGAUGCGUCUGAUUAGCUUGUUGGCGGGGUAACGGCCCACCAAGGCGACGAUCAGUAGGGGUUCUGAGAGGAAGGUCCCCCACAUUGGAACUGAGACACGGUCCCAACUCCUACGGGAGGCAGCAGUGAGGAAUAUUGGUCAAUGGGCGAGAGCCUGAACCAGCCAAGUAGCGUGCAGGAUGACGGCUCUAUGGGUUGUAAACUGCUUUUAUAAGGGAAUAAAGUGAGUCUCGUGAGACUUUUUGCAUGUACCUUAUGAAUAAGGACCGGCUAAUUCCGUGCCAGCAGCCGCGGUAAUACGGAAGGUCCGGGCGUUAUCCGGAUUUAUUGGGUUUAAAGGGAGCGUAGGCCGGAGAUUAAGCGUGUUGUGAAAUGUAGAUGCUCAACAUCUGCACUGCAGCGCGAACUGGUUUCCUUGAGUACGCACAAAGUGGGCGGAAUUCGUGGUGUAGCGGUGAAAUGCUUAGAUAUCACGAAGAACUCCGAUUGCGAAGGCAGCUCACUGGAGCGCAACUGACGCUGAAGCUCGAAAGUGCGGGUAUCGAACAGGAUUAGAUACCCUGGUAGUCCGCACGGUAAACGAUGGAUGCCCGCUGUUGGUCUGAAUAGGUCAGCGGCCAAGCGAAAGCAUUAAGCAUCCCACCUGGGGAGUAC
rnacentral:rRNA from 1 species